UAAAGCAUGCUUGCUUAAGAGGUGCAAUGGGAUUUUUUUAGUUUAUAACUCAUGCUAAUGCAUUGUAUGAAUACAGCAUAUGGAGAAAAAAAUUCAUUAACUGUGCAUUUUAGAUGUUCCUGAAUCCAGACGUCAUCACCAUCACAGGUUCAAUAACAUGCGCAUAAUGCAGACUGACUAUUAGCUUCUGGCUCCAUGGAAUUAGUUUUGAUGAAUAUUACAGAAAUGUUUGUCUUUCUGUCUCCGAGCUACAAACAUUACUUUCUCUGGAUGCUGAAACUUUAAAUAA